GAACUUAAGCAUAUCAAUAAGCGGAGAAAAAGAAACCAACAGGGAUUGCCUUAGUAACUGCGAGUGAAGCGGCAAAAGCUCAAAUUUGAAAUCUGGCGUCUUUGGCGUCCGAAUUGUAAUUUGGAGAGGCAACUUCGGAGAUGGUGCUGUCCUAAGUUCCUUGGAACAGGAUGACAUAGAGGGUGAGAUCCCCGUGCCUGGAUGGCUGUCCAUCUUCAUGUGAAUUGCCUUCGAAGAGUCGAGUUGUUUGGGAAUGCAGCUCAAAAUGGGUGGUAAAUUUCAUCUAAAGCUAAAUAUUGGCGAGAGACCGAUAGCGCACAAGUAGAGUGAUCGAAAGAUGAAAAGCACUUUGAAAAGAGAGUUAAAAAGUACGUGAAAUUGUUGAAAGGGAAGCGCUUGAGACCAGACUCGAUUCGUGGUGAUCAGCUGUGCUUCUGUACGGUGCACUCGCCAUGGAUUGGGCCAGCAUCGGUUCUGACGGUGGGAUAAAAGGUUGAGGAAUGUGUCUUCCUUCGGGGAGUGUUAUAGCCUCACUCACAAUGCCACCAGCUGGGACCGAGGACCGCGCUUCGGCUAGGAUGCUGGCGUAAUGGUCUUAAGCGACCCGUCUUGAAACACGGACCUAGGAGUCUAACAUCUAUGCGAGUGUUCGGGUGGAAAACCCUUGCGCGUAAUGAAAGUGAACGGAGGUGGGAACCCGCAAGGGUGCACCAUCGACCGAUCCCGAUGUCUUCGGAAGGAUUUGAGUAAGAGCAUAGCUGUUGGGACCCGAAA
rnacentral:rRNA from 1 species